CCUCAAAUAAGUACAUUAGUGAAAUAUUUCAGUUAUUUUAGCAGGCCUUGUCAAAAUAUGUUAUCUGAUAAUAAUUUAUUAGGUGUAAAAUUUUAUUGUAUAAUUGAAAGAUAGUUACUUCAUCAAAGGUCAGACCAAAUAGAAUAUUAUUAGAUAACUUGUUCUAAUAUCCAAAUAGGAUUUUACGGAGUGUAUAGGUAUAAAACAAAAUUUGUGGAGACCACAGCUAUCUAGUGAAGUUGGAUAACAUUCCAGUUUUCUAUGAUUUUCUAGUUUUCUAUGAAAAAAAGUUAAAGAGUCUGUUUCCACUCAGACGUGUUUAUUAAAGAAUAAAUUUAGUC
rnacentral:lncRNA from 1 species